rfam:Tritrichomonas foetus strain K scaffold_95, whole genome shotgun sequence.
GCGUAAUUGGGGUAAUGGUUAGCCUAUGAGCUUCCCAAGCUUGGGAACCGGGUUCGAUUCCCGGAUUACGCA